rnacentral:rRNA from 1 species
GAUGAACGCUGGCGGCGUGCCUAAUACAUGCAAGUCGAGCGAACGGACGAGAAGCUUGCUUCUCUGAUGUUAGCGGCGGACGGGUGAGUAACACGUGGAUAACCUACCUAUAAGACUGGGAUAACUUCGGGAAACCGUAGCUAAUACCGGAUAAUAUUUUGAACCGCAUGGUUCAAAAGUGAAAGACGGUCUUGCUGUCACUUAUAGAUGGAUCCGCGCUGCAUUAGCUAGUUGGUAAGGUAACGGCUUACCAAGGCAACGAGGCAUAGCCGACCUGAGAGGGGGAUCGGCCACACGGGAACUGAGACACGGUCCAGACUCCUACGGGAGGCAGCAGUAGGGAAUCUUCCGCAAUGGGCGAAAGCCUGACGGAGCAACGCCGCGUGAGUGAUGAAGGUCUUCGGAUCGUAAAACUCUGUUAUUAGGGAAGAACAUAUGUGUAAGUAACUGUGCACAUCUUGACGGUACCUAAUCAGAAAGCCACGGCUAACUACGUG